rnacentral:rRNA from 1 species
GCCCUUCCUACGGGAGGCAGCAGUGGGGAAUUUUGGACAAUGGGCGAAAGCCUGAUCCAGCAAUGCCGCGUGUAUGAAGAAGGCCUUCGGGUUGUAAAGCACUUUUGUCCGGAAAGAAAUGGCUCUGGUUAAUACCUGGGGUCGAUGACGGUACCGGAAGAAUAAGGACCGGCUAACUACGUGCCAGCAGCCGCGGUAAUACGUAGGGUCCAAGCGUUAAUCGGAAUUACUGGGCGUAAAGCGUGCGCAGGCGGUUGUGCAAGACCGAUGUGAAAUCCCCGAGCUUAACUUGGGAAUUGCAUUGGUGACUGCACGGCUAGAGUGUGUCAGAGGGGGGUAGAAUUCCACGUGUAGCAGUGAAAUGCGUAGAGAUGUGGAGGAAUACCGAUGGCGAAGGCAGCCCCCUGAGAUAACACUGACGCUCAUGCACGAAAGCGUGGGGAGCAAACAGGAUUAGAUACCCUGGUAGUCCACGCCCUAAACGAUGUAAACUAGUUGUUGGGGAUUCAUUUCCUUAGUAACGUAGCUAACGCGUGAAGUUGACCGCCUGGGGAGUACGGUCGCAAGAUUAAAACUCAAAGGAAUUGACGGAAGGGC